rnacentral:rRNA from 1 species
AUUGAACGCUGGCGGCAUGCCUUACACACGCAAGUCGAACGGUAACAGGUUAAGCUGACGAGUGGCGAACGGGUGAGUAAUGUAUCGGAACGUGCCCAGUCGUGGGGGAUAACUACUCGAAAGAGUGGCUAAUACCGCAUACGACCUGAGGGUGAAAGCGGGGGACCGUAAGGCCUCGCGCGAUUGGAGCGGCCGAUAUCAGAUUAGCUAGUUGGUGGGGUAAAAGCCCACCAAGGCGACGAUCUGUAGCUGGUCUGAGAGGACGACCAGCCACACUGGGACUGAGACACGGCCCAGACUCCUACGGGAGGCAGCAGUGGGGAAUUUUGGACAAUGGGGGAAACCCUGAUCCAGCCAUCCCGCGUGUGCGAUGAAGGCCUUCGGGUUGUAAAGCACUUUUGGCAGGAAAGAAACGGCACGGGCUAAUAUCCCGUGCAACUGACGGUACCUGCAGAAUAAGCACCGGCUAACUACGUGCCAGCCGCCGCCGUAACAC